rnacentral:pre_miRNA from 1 species
ACUACGUUCGGACCGUCGGUCUACCGAGCAAUAUCACCCGCUCGGUGGAAGAUCUUUCCUUUCGUCGU